rnacentral:misc_RNA from 1 species
GUUUAUUCUAUAUGGAGGAAAUUGACAUCGCUGUCGGACGACGUUAUUUUUUCCCUUGUGACAUUUGUUCAUUGACUAUAGUUAGUUCAUUUGUUUCAAAGAUUGUUCUCAAAAAUGAUUGUGAUGGUCAUUUUAUGGAUACAUAUAAGAAAUUCUUUAUAGGCCCCACCCUCUGUAGGUAUACAAUGCUGUCACUGCAGAUACAAAUGCAAGUGUAUACAUGUUUCGGGGUUAGUUGAUUCCCGUCAGCUGGAAGUAGAGAAGCUGAAACGCCAUUGUAGUUUUCUCUCCAUUUUUCUUCCGCCGAAUUGAAUCAGUAGAGUAAAAACAAAAAAGUACAUUUCUACGAUGGAUUCGCCAGACAUCGACAGCAACGAAACCGUCCAACAUCAGUCGACUAUCGAACAGGUUGUCGCCGAAAAUGUCCAGCAGCAACUACAACCGUCUGGAAACCCAAACGAAUCGAUAAUAGCGCUAGAAAUUGUUCCCGAUAAAACAUCAAACGAGCCAGCGCUAUCCUCGAGAACUUCUUCUGUCGUAGGUGACCAAACUCAACCCGUGCCGACCGAUGAAGAAACCGUCGAUCAUGAACCAAAGGUUGAUCUAGAGAAAGACAAGCUGUCUGUUUCGACCGAAGACUUGACUGUAUCGCUUCCUACCAAAGACAAGCCGGAAGACCAGAUCAGCUGUGAGCCAUCAUCAUCGUCGUCAACCACUUCGUCGUCGAUCGCAACUGCGGAAGAAUUCAAGCAAAUGUCUAGACGCCAACUCGCCACCGUCCUAAUCCUGUGCUUUGUCAAUCUUUUAAAGUACAUGGAUAGGUUCACUAUCGCAGGGAUCCUGCCGGAGAUCCAGUGCUUUUUUGGAAUCAGCGAUGCGCAAGGUGGAUUACUGUCGACGGCUUUCGUGGUGUCCUACAUGCUUUUCUAUUAUUACUAUAUAUUAGAUCAUCAUGGGAUGUGGAAUCAUUUUCUGGGGUCUUUCCAAUUUAGCCGGUUCGUUUACGGAAACCUACAGUCUCUUUCUGACGCCGAGGAUUUUAGUUGGCAUCGGUGAGUCCAUGUUUUCCACCGUUUCGUCGACUAUCAUUAUUUCCGACGUGUGCGUCGGUGACACUCGGUCAAAAUUCCUCAUCCUUUAUUAUUUCGCCAUUCCGGUUGGAAGCGGUCUAGGAUUUAUUGUCGGUGCAGCGAUGGCCAGCGCUUUCGGUUCCUGGCAGUGGGGUCUCCGUGUUACACCUUUCUUAGGCCUUAUCGCCGUCCUGUUGAUCUUCUUUAUCGUCCAAGAGCCGCCGAGAGGUGAAGCCGAAGGAUCUACUUUAUCCCCGACAACUUAUUGGGACGAUCUCAAAUAUCUGCAAAAAUAAAAGUUACAUACUGUCAACCGCGAGCUGCACGCUCACCACCUAUGUCUCGGGAGCGCUGGCCUGGUGGGGUCCAAAAUUCAUUACAUUGGGACAAGCCUCCGGACAAGGAUUAGACAUGUCUUAUACCAGGGUGUCUUUAGUCGUCGGCUUUGAAGCAGCUUUAGCCGGAGUGGUGGGCGUUGCUUCCGGAUCUUUGGUCGGACAGAAAUUGAGAAAACGCUUUCCGACUGCCGACGCCCAAGUUUGCGCUUGGAGUAUGUUCAUUUGAGCCCCGCUACUCUAUUGGGGCUGCUAUAUCGCGACCGGCCCUCCAGUGCCGUUGUACAUCGUCCUCUUCUUCGGCCAGUGGUUCCUCAACGUUAGCUGGGCUCCCGUUGGUGACAUCCUCAUG